rnacentral:lncRNA from 1 species
GGCCCCUUUUCUCAGGGAUAGCCUAACAUCUGACCGCACCCUCUUUGCUUUUUAAAAAAUGCCUUUUCACUCUUUAAGAUAAAUCCUCUAUUAUACAAUCUGCCACUAAUUGUGUGUUAAGACUGUUUUUCUCUCGAAAGCUGACGCAUCCUGCUCUCAACAUGGUCUAGAAAGCAGGCUGUUACAGUACUGGAUUAAUAAAAGGGGCCUUUAUGGUUUGUGAAAGAAUAUCUCUGUGCUUAGGCAGGAAACUUUUUGAUCCACAGCAAAGCCAGACGACAUCUAGAGCAAGAGAGGCCAACUUGAAGAGCAUGCAUAUUGUGAUACCCUCAGUGGUGUCUUUUACAAUAUGUUCUGCUUCAACCAGUGAAUUUUGUUCAAUUGGCCAGUGAAAGAAAAAUUAAAAGGAAAAAGGAAAGUGAAGAAAUUAAUUAUACCAGAUUUCAGCGAAGGUAAUACAGUGAUCUUAAAUACAUUUUUUCUUUUUUUUUUCUUUUCUUUUUUUUUUUUUUAUACAAUAAAGCUAUUGGCAAGAACCUGAAGCA